rnacentral:rRNA from 1 species
GACGAACGCUGGCGGCGUGCCUAAUACAUGCCAGUCGAACGCAUUUUCUUUCACCGUAGCUUGCUACACCGAAAGAAAAUGAGUGGCGAACGGGUGAGUAACACGUGGGUAACCUGCCCAUCAGCGGGGGAUAACACUUGGAAACAGGUGCUAAUACCGCAUAAUUCCAUUUACCGCAUGGUAAAUGGAUGAAAGGCGCUUUUGCGUCACUGAUGGAUGGACCCGCGGUGCAUUAGCUAGUUGGUGGGGUAACGGCCUACCAAGGCUGCGAUGCAUAGCCGACCUGAGAGGGUGAUCGGCCACACUGGGACUGAGACACGGCCCAGACUCCUACGGGAGGCAGCAGUAGGGAAUCUUCGGCAAUGGACGCAAGUCUGACCGAGCAACGCCGCGUGAGUGAAGAAGGGUUUCGGAUCGUAAAACUCUGUUGUUAGAGAAGAACAAGGAUGAGAGUGGAAAGUUCAUCCCUUGACGGUAUCUAACCAGAAAGCCACGGCUAACUACGUG